GGGUUAGUAGCCGCGGUAAGACGGAGGGGGAGAGGGGUGUCCGGAAUUACUGGGCGUAAAGAGCACGUAGGCGGGUAUUUAAGUCAGGUGUGAAAGACCGCAGCCCAACUGCGGGGUUGCACUUGAAACUGGAUAUCUUGAGGGCAGGAGAGGUCAGUGGAAUUCCUGGUGUAGCGGUGAAAUGCGUAGAUAUCAGGAGGAACACCAGUGGCGAAGGCGGCUGACUGGACUGACCCUGACGCUGAGGUGCGAAAGCGUGGGUAGCAAACAGGAUUAGAUACCCUGGUAGUCCACGCCGUAAACGAUGGAUACUAGGUGUGGGAGGUAUCGACCCCUUCCGUGCCGGAGCUAACGCAAUAAGUAUCCCGCCUGGGGAGUACGGUCGCAAGGCUGAAACUCAAAUGAAUUGGCGG
rnacentral:rRNA from 1 species